UGUUCCGCCAGGAGCAUGGCUGGGUAGCUACGUACGGACGGGAUAAGCGCUGAAAGCAUCUAAGCGUGAAGCCCCCCUCAAGAUGAGAUUUCCCAAUUAGUAAGACCCCUUGAAGACGACGAGGUAGAUAGGUUGGAGGUGGAAGUGCAGCAAUGCAUGGAGCUGACCAAUACUAAUCGGUCGAGGGCUUAUCCUA
rnacentral:rRNA from 1 species